GUAACAAGGUCUCCGUUGGUGAACCAGCGGAGGGAUCAUUACCGAGUUUACAACUCCCAAACCCCUGUGAACAUACCACUUGUUGCCUCGGCGGAUCAGCCCGCUCCCGGUAAAACGGGACGGCCCGCCAGAGGACCCCUAAAACUCUGUUUCUAUAUGUAACUUCUGAGUAAAACCAUAAAUAAAUCAAAACUUUCAACAACGGAUCUCUUGGUUCUGGCAUCGAUGAAGAACGCAGCAAAAUGCGAUAAGUAAUGUGAAUUGCAGAAUUCAGUGAAUCAUCGAAUCUUUGAACGCACAUUGCGCCCGCCAGUAUUCUGGCGGGCAUGCCUGUUCGAGCGUCAUUUCAACCCUCAAGCACAGCUUGGUGUUGGGACUCGCGUUAAUUCGCGUUCCUCAAAUUGAUUGGCGGUCACGUCGAGCUUCCAUAGCGUAGUAGUAAAACCCUCGUUACUGGUAAUCGUCGCGGCCACGCCGUUAAACCCCAACUUCUGAAUGUUGACCUCGGAUCAGGUAGGAAUACCCGCUGAACCUAAGCAUAUCA
rnacentral:misc_RNA from 1 species